CCUGAGCUGAAGUCGAGUGUGUUCCUGACUGAGCCACCCAGAAAAUAUUGACUGAGCAAUGACCAUCCAUCUCUAAUUCUGAAGUACCAGGUGAAGAAGAGAAAGGGAUGAAUGGGAAAUCAAGAGUCCUGGAAUGAAGGUUUUCUCCUUCCAAAGCCUCAACUAGUUAUUAAUAUGAAUACAUGAAAUAAGGUCUCUAAAAGCUUAUAUAAAACAUAAUUUGCAAAGUCACUAUGUUGUACACCAGAAAGUAAUGUAACGUUGUGUGUCAACUAUACUCCAAUAAAGAAUAAUUUGGGUACAAGCAAA